AGUGGCGGACGGGUGAGUAACGCGUGGGUAACCUGCCCUAUACCGGGGGAUAACACUUAGAAAUAGGUGCUAAUACCGCAUAAGCGCACGGAGUCGCAUGACUUUGUGUGAAAAACUCCGGUGGUAUAGGAUGGACCCGCGUCUGAUUAGCUAGUUGGUGAGGUAACGGCCCACCAAGGCGACGAUCAGUAGCCGGACUGAGAGGUUGAACGGCCACAUUGGGACUGAGACACGGCCCAGACUCCUACGGGAGGCAGCAGUGGGGAAUAUUGCACAAUGGGGGAAACCCUGAUGCAGCAACGCCGCGUGAAGGAAGACGGUUUUCGGAUUGUAAACUUCUGUUCUUAGUGAAGAAUAAUGACGGUAGCUAAGGAGCAAGCCACGGCUAACUACGUGCCAGCAGCCGCGGUAAUACGUAGGUGGCAAGCGUUGUCCGGAAUUACUGGGUGUAAAGGGAGCGUAGGCGGGAUGCCAAGUCAGCUGUGAAAACUAUGGGCUUAACUUGUAGACUGCAGUUGAAACUGGUAUUCUUGAGUGAAGUAGAGGUUGGCGGAAUUCCGAGUGUAGCGGUGAAAUGCGUAGAUAUUCGGAGGAACACCGGUGGCGAAGGCGGCCAACUGGGCUUUAACUGACGCUGAGGCUCGAAAGUGUGGGGAGCAAACAGGAUUAGAUACCCUGGUAGUCCACACUGUAAACGAUGAUAACUAGGUGUGGGGGGUCUGACCCCUUCCGUGCCGCAGCUAACGCAAAUAAGUUAUCCACCUGGGGAGUACGACCGCAAGGUUGAAACUCAAAGGAAUUGGCGGGGACCCGCACAAGCAGUGGAUUAUGUGGUUUAAUUCGAAGCAACGCGAAGAACCUUACCAGCACUUGACAUCCGACUAACGAAGUAGAGAUACAUUAGGUGCCCUUCGGGGAAAGUCGAGACAGGUGGUGCAUGGUUGUCGUCAGCUCGUGUCGUGAGAUGUUGGGUUAAGUCCCGCAACGAGCGCAACCCCUGCCAUUAGUUGCUACGCAAGAGCACUCUAAUGGGACCGCUACCGACAAGGUGGAGGAAGGUGGGGACGACGUCAAAUCAUCAUGCCCCUUAUGUGCUGGGCUACACACGUAAUACAAUGGCCAUCAACAAAGAGAAGCAAUACCGCGAGGUGGAGCAAAACUAUAAAAAUGGUCUCAGUUCGGACUGCAGGCUGCAACCCGCCUGCAUGAAGUUGGAAUUGCUAGUAAUCGUGGAUCAGCAUGCCACGGUGAAUACGUUCCCGGGUCUUGCACUCACCGCCCGUCA
rnacentral:rRNA from 1 species